UUCUAGAGCUAAUACAUGCUAAAAAUCUCGACUUCGGAAGAGAUGUAUUUAUUAGAUAAAAAACCAAUGCCCUUCGGGGCUCCUUGGUGAUUCAUAAUAACUUUUCAGAUCGCAUGGCCUUGAGCCGGCGACGGUUCAUUCAAAUUUCUGCCCUAUCAACUUUCGAUGGUAAGGUAGUGGCUUACCAUGGUUUCAACGGGUAACGGGGAAUUAGGGUUCGAUUCCGGAGAGUGAGCCUGAGAAACGGCUGACACAUCCAAGGAAGGCAGCAGGCGCGCAAAUUACCCAAUCCCGACUCGGGGAGGUAGUGACAAUAAAUACUGAUACAGGGCUCUUUUGGGUCUUGUAAUUGGAAUGAGUACAAUUUAAACCUCUUAACGAGGAACAAUUGGAGGGCAAGUCUGGUGCCAGCAGCCGCGGUAAUUCCAGCUCCAAUAGCGUAUAUUAAAGUUGUUGCCGUUAAAAAGCUCGUAGUUGAACCUUGGGCCUGGCUGGCAGGUCCGCCUCACCGCGUGUACUUGUCCGGCCGGGCCUUUCCUUCUGGAGAACCUCAUGCCCUUCACUGGGUGUGCUGGGGAACCAGGACUUUUACUUUGAAAAAAUUAGAGUGUUCAAAGCAGGCCUUUGCUCGAAUACGUUAGCAUGGAAUAAUAGAAUAAGACGUUGCGGUCUUAUUUUGUUGGUUUCUAAGACCGCCGUAAUGAUUAAUAGGGACGGUUGGGGGCAUUAGUAUUCAAUUGUCAGAGGUGAAAUUCUUGGGAUUUAUUGAAGACUAACUACUGCGAAAGCAUUUGCCAAAGAUGUUUUCAUUAAUCAGUGAACGAAAGUUAGGGGAUCGAAAACGAUCAGAUACCGUUGUAGUCUUAACCGUAAACUAUGCCGACUAGGGAUUGGACGGUGUUU
rnacentral:rRNA from 1 species